rnacentral:rRNA from 1 species
CCUACGGGUGACAGCAGUGGGGAAUAUUGCACAAUGGGGGAAACCCUGAUGCAGCGACGCCGCGUGAGCGAUGAAGUAUUUCGGUAUGUACAGCUCUAUCAGCAGGGACGAAAAUGACGGUACCUGACUAAUAAGCCCCGGCUAACUACGUGCCAGCAGCCGCGGUAAUAAGUAGGGGGCAAGCAAUAUCAGGAUUUACUGGUGGUAAAGGGAGCGUAGACGGGCCUGCAAGCCAGAUGUGAAAGCCCGGGGCCCAACCCCGGGACUGCAUUUGGAACUGUAAGGCGAGAGUGUCGGAGAGGCAGGCGGAAUUCCUAGGGUAGCGGUGAAAUGCGUAGAUAUUAGGAGGAACACCAGUGGCGAAGGCGGCCUGCUGGACGAUGACUGACGUUGAGGCUCGAAAGCGUGGGGAGCAAACAGGAUUAGAUACCCCGGUAGUC